GUGAAUCACGUGACGAUCGAGCAUUUCCCUGUCGCAGCUCUCUCUGAUUUAGAGGUGUUUCACAGGUAAACCGAAACUAAAGAAACUUUGACUUCGUCGUGUGAUAAGACUCCAUUUCUGAACGCUAUAAACCAAAGCUUUCAACUUCUGUGUUAUUUAUCGGUCAGUUUGAGAUUGAGAAACCAGAAUGUCCCACACUGUCAUUCCUGUGAACUCUUCGACAAUCGUCAUCCAGCUGCAACCAGCAACACAAACAACGGUGACAAAUGCUCCUUUCCCUGUUUAUGUACAACAGGUGACGGGAGCUUCACCUCUUCAUGGAGUUCAGGCAUUUCUCAAAGGCCAACCAAAAGCCUUUGGGACGGUCCAGAUAAUGAUCGGUGUGAUGACUCUGCUGUUUGGCAUUGUGUCUAAACUUCAGGCAGAGUCCAUCUUUGUCUAUGCUGGUAUUCCUUUCUGGGGAUCUCUCAUUUACAUUGUCUCAGAGCUCACUCUGCAUUGCUGCAGAAAACAAAAAUUAAUUCUCCCUCCAGU